rnacentral:rRNA from 1 species
UGAGGAAUAUUGGUCAAUGGGCGCAGGCCUGAACCAGCCAAGUCGCGUGAGGGAGGACGGUCCUACGGAUUGUAAACCUCUUUUGUCGGGGAGUAACGUGCGGGACGCGUCCCGUAUUGAGAGUACCCGAAGAAAAAGCAUCGGCUAACUCCGUGCCAGCAGCCGCGGUAAUACGGAGGAUGCGAGCGUUAUCCGGAUUUAUUGGGUUUAAAGGGUGCGCAGGCGGCGCGCCAAGUCAGCGGUCAAAGUUCCGGGCUCAACCCGGUGUCGCCGUUGAAACUGGCGUGCUCGAGUGCGUGCGAGGAAGGCGGAAUGCGUUGUGUAGCGGUGAAAUGCAUAGAUAUGACGCAGAACUCCGAUUGCGAAGGCAGCUUUCCAGCGCGCUACUGACGCUGAGGCACGAAAGCGUGGGGAUCGAACAGG